rnacentral:misc_RNA from 1 species
UGAGAAGGGCCUUUCCACU